rnacentral:rRNA from 1 species
AUUGAACGCUGGCGGCAGGCCUAACACAUGCAAGUCGAGCGAGCGGCGGACGGGUGAGUAAUGUCUGGGGAACUGCCCGAUAGAGGGGGAUAACUACUGGAAACGGUAGCUAAUACCGCAUACCAUCAGAUGUACCCAUAUGGGAUUAGCUGGUAGGUGGGGUAACGGCUCACCUAGGCGACGAUCCCUAGCUGGUCUGAGAGGAUGACCAGCCACACUGGAACGGAGACACGGUCCAGACUCCUACGGGAGGCAGCAGUGGGGAAUAUUGCACAAUGGGCGCAAGCCUGAUGCAGCCAUGCCGCGUGUGUGAAGAAGGCCUUCGGGUUGUAAAGUACUUUCAGCGGGGAGGCGUUACCCGCAGAAGAAGCACCGGCUAACUCCGUGCCAGCAGCCGCGGUAAUAC